GAUCCACACUCUCGCGAGACCCACACCCACGCGGGGUCCACGCCCACACGAUAACACACUCAGGCGAGUCCGCACUCUCGCGAGAUCCACACCCGCGCGAGAUCACACUCGCGAGACCAUACUCUCGCGAGAUCCACACCCACGCGAGAUCCACACUCUCGCGAGACCCACACCCACGCGGGGUCCACGCCCACACGCUAACACACUCACGCGAGAUCCACACUCUCGCGAGAUCCACACCCACGCGAGAUCAACACUUAUUUGAGACCCACAAUCAUGCGGGGGUCCACACUCACGCGAUAUCACACCCACGCGAGAUCCACACUCUCAUGAGGUCCGUACCCACGUGAGACCCGCACUCCCACGUUGCCGGAGUGGGGCGGAAGGGCGGCUGAACAGUCCAUCCGCGGACAGAACGCCGGGCCGGCGGGGAGCCCGGGCCUGGCCACCCCCCGGCUGGCACCUGCGCUGUUGCUCGGGCUCAGUGCGCGGAGCGGCUCUCUCCUGGGGCGACUUCGUGGUUCUCGGCUCGUCAGGACCACACCUGGACGACCGUCACCUGGCAGGAUGUGCCUUGCUGUGAGCAGGACAAAUUCCAAACGCAACUCCUAGAAAUGGAAACGCCAUAUGCCCGUCCGCGCUGUCAGCCACCCACGUGAUUUCUGGGGUUCAGAAAGCGUGAGACUGGAAGUGAGCACUGGACUUCGUCUUACCCCUUGCCCUCAGACUCCAGGGUCCGCCUGGGCAGUGCCGGCAGGUGCUAAGAGAAGUCCAGCCAUAAUGCGAUUGGAGCCAGGAAGGAAGGAAGGGUGAUGCAUGGUUGUAUUUGAGGAGGAACAAGCUGCCAUGGCCUGGACCUCCUCAUUGACCCGGGUCGUCGUGUGAGACAGGAAGUGGAGCAGGCUCCCCGAGGCCGGAGCCCCGGCGGACGCCGGACAGAGCGUCACCCGUUCCGGGAGGACCGAGCGUUUCUCCUGGAGGCGGCGGCCGCCCAGCGCGCGAUCUGUCGGACUGCAGCCAGCGAGGCCCCAGCGUCAUCAGAGACCGCGGCCCCGGGAGACCAGCCGCAGAACUGGGAGCGCCGGUCUCUGGGCCACAGAGCAAGGGCUCAACAGAUGUUUGGCCCGGUAGAGGGAAGAUUCCGGAAGAGGUGACGUGGGCUGGUGGGAGUCCCAGUUGCCUUGGAAAAGGAGGAAGUGACUUUCCGUGCCCAUGAGAAGGAUACC
rnacentral:lncRNA from 1 species